GACGAACGCUGGCGGCGUGCUUAACACAUGCAAGUCGAACGAAGAGCGACGGAAGCUUGCUUCUAUCAAUCUUAGUGGCGAACGGGUGAGUAACGCGUAAUCAACCUGCCCUUCAGAGGGGGACAACAGUUGGAAACGACUGCUAAUACCGCAUACGAUCUAAUCUCGGCAUCGAGGAUGGAUGAAAGGUGGCCUCUACAUGUAAGCUAUCACUGAAGGAGGGGAUUGCGUCUGAUUAGCUAGUUGGAGGGGUAACGGCCCACCAAGGCGAUGAUCAGUAGCCGGUCUGAGAGGAUGAACGGCCACAUUGGGACUGAGACACGGCCCAGACUCCUACGGGAGGCAGCAGUGGGGAAUCUUCCGAAAUGGACGAAAGUCUGACGGAGCAACGCCGCGUGAGUGAUGACGGCCUUCGGGUUGUAAAGCUCUGUUAAUCGGGACGAAAGGCCUUCUUGCGAAUAGUGAGAAGGAUUGACGGUACCGGAAUAGAAAGCCACGGCUAACUACGUG
rnacentral:rRNA from 1 species